AUUGAACGCUGGCGGCAGGCCUAACACAUGCAAGUCGAGCGAGCGGCGGACGGGUGAGUAAUGUAUGGGGAUCUGCCCGAUAGAGGGGGAUAACUACUGGAAACGGUAGCUAAUACCGCAUACCAUCAGAUGAACCCAUAUGGGGUUGGCUUGUAGGUGAGGUAACGGCUCACCUGGGCGACGAUCCCUAGCUGGUCUGAGAGGAUGAUCGGCGACACUGGGACUGAGACACGUGCCGGACUCCUACGGUAGGCAGUAGUGGGGAAUAUUGCACAAGGGGCGCAAGCCUGAGGCAGCCUGGCCGCGUGUAUGAAGAAGGCCUUAGGGUUGUAAAGUACUGUCAGCGGGGAGGCGUUACCCGCAGAAGAAGCACCGGCUAACUCCGUGCCAGCAGCCGCGGUAAUAC
rnacentral:rRNA from 1 species